GUAAACGCUGGCGGCGUGCUUAACACAUGCAAGUCGAACGAGAUUUUACAGAACACCGUAGAGUCUAGUGGCAGACGGGUGAGUAACACGUGGGAAACCUACCUAAAAGUGGGGGAUAACCCCGGGAAACCGGAGCUAAUACCCCAUAAGACCACAGUAAGACAUCUUACAGAGGUCAAAGCCGUAUAGCAAUAUACGGCGCUUUUUGAGGGUCCCGCGUCCUAUCAGCUAGUUGGUGAGGUAACGGCUCACCAAGGCUAUGACGGGUAGCCGGCCUUAAAGGGUGUACGGCCACAAUGGAACUGAGACACGGUCCAUACUCCUACGGGAGGCAGCAGUGGGGAAUUUUGGACAAUGGGCGAAAGCCUGAUCCAGCAACGCCGCGUGAAGGAUGAAGGUCUUCGGAUUGUAAACUUCUUUUAGGGGGAACGAAUAAAUUGACGGUACUCCCAGAAAAAGCCACGGCUAACUACGU
rnacentral:rRNA from 1 species